CUCAGUUUUCUUUCUGCUUUGCUUUUCUUUUCUUUUUUUUGUCUCUCUUUUUUUAAUGAAGAGUUUUCUGGAACUGCAAAGCUAAAAGGGGAGAAGGUGGGAAGGCCAUCUGAUCCCUUUCUAAACCCUUCCCUCUGUCUCUCCCCUUGGUCAGCACUGCAACAAUGACUCUUGAGGUGAUGUCCUACCCCCAUGCCAAGCCUGUGCCUCAUUACCCAAGCCUUGGAAAGCAGCAGUGAGCUGUUGGGCAGGCCUGGGAAGUAGUGUUGUCUGGACCCCUUUGCUGUGCCCUGUACCCAAACUAGACCAGCACUGAACUUGCUGCACAGGAGCUCUUAUUGUGGGAUUAUCAUUGUGGGAUCUGAAGUAGAGAUGUUGGAUGGCACCACCCGCUUUCAUCAUUUGUGGAGGGUGUCAGGAUGCAUGGCUUUCCCUUUCUUUCUGAAGGGACAGUGCACCUUUCUCUGGAAUCUCUUGGGCCUGUGAAGAGCCACCAGGAAAGCAGUUGGUGCCCUCAGCAGCCUGCCCUCCUCUCCUUCAUCUUGGUGUUUGUUAGGGCAGAGAGAAAGCAGACAGCCUUGAGGUACCUGCAGAGCCUUUUGGUCUUACCCUGAGGAUAGAAUCAUAGAAUGGUUAGGGUCCUUUCCAACCCAAACCAUUCCAUGAUUCCAUGACUUGAAAAAUCGGUGUCAGAGAAAGGAAUAGACUCAGGUCUCCUCACUCUAUUUCCUUAUGUUGUGGGGCCUCCUGAGGUGCUGGAUUCACAUGGGGUCUGUAAGGCAACUGGGGCAUCAGGUUUGGCCACUGACCUCAGCAAUUCCAAAGGCUGCAGAUACCAAAAGGGGAUCAGUGGCUGAGCUGGGCUGUGUUUCUCAGUCCCUGCUGGAUCUGCAACUAUGCCAGAGCAAAGGCAGCCUGAGAAAUCUCCCCAAGGAGAAGGACAUAUGGCAUGCUUACAGAGUUACUGUACCACUGCUACAGUCGUCUGGAUGCAGUGGUCUCCGGAGGCUCCUGGCUUUGUCUCUGCUGGAGCAAACUGGGAUGUUGCUCUAUUGCAUCUAAUUCUUUUAGCUUGUCCUGCACUGAAUUUUCUUACCAGAGCAGCCUGCUCUUCUGGAAGAUGAUAAAAGGCAUUUUAUUUAACCCUGUGGCAUGUAUCAGUCCUCCCACACUGUCCACCAAGUAAGCUGUGCUGAGUGAUUUGCAGCCAGGCAGAACAAAUUCAGCUUCUCAGUUACUUCCAAAAUCACCCCUCACCCCAGACAGCACACAAGCCAUAGUUCACAGGUUUUUCAGAGGCUGCUGCUAACCACUUAGUACUCAGGGGCCUGGAGUUAAAGGUCUUUCAAGGCCUGUCUCCAUCCUGAGGACACUGUUGUUCAGCUGUUUGGCUUCCUUCUCCUCCUUUGGGCGGUUGCUGGAGGGGAUGGAGGUAAUGGCCAGGACCAGAGGCAGAGCGACAAGCUCAUCAGCAGAAAGGUUUGCAAGGGGAAGCAGAAGAGAACAAACAGGAGGGAGAAUGGUCCAAAAGCCAAGGGGAGAAGAGGUGUGAGCACCCCAAGGACAGAGGGAGGGCACUGUUGUUUCACCACGUUGUGUGCAGACCUUAGAGUGUCAGUUCUCAGAGUGAUGUAGCACAAUUCCCAAUGUACAUGUGUUACUUUUGUAAGUCGUCUCCUGCCCUCACUAUUUUCAGUGUUUCUUGAUUUUUGGAGACUGUUGUAAAUAAAAGAUUUUGACAUUC
rnacentral:lncRNA from 1 species